rnacentral:tRNA from 1 species
GCCGGUGUAGCUCAGCUGGUAGAGGACGUCAUUCGUAAUGAUGGGGUCGGGGGUUCGAGUCCCUUCAGCGGCACCA